AUUUACACACAUUAGAGUGUCCGUGCUGGUAUUGGCAGCGACAGCGUCAUCGUCAUGCCAGUGGUAAAAUUCACCUGUGAAAAUUUUAAAUUGGAAAAUGUGCCCGGCCACUUAAAUAAAAAGCAAGAACACACACACAUACAUAUGUAUUAGUGUAAAUACAGAUGCGAGCAUGCACUUGUAGCUACAUAUACCCAAGGUGCAUAUAUUGCCUUAAGUAUCCACAAAAAAUAUAGGAGAGUGGAUAGGAGAGGAGAGGAGAGAGGAGACUCGUUGUCAUAGUCGUCGGCUACAUGCAACGUGCCAAAUUCUUUGGCGGCAAAGGAAAGUGAUUUGAAGAUGACGAGCUUGAGACCACACAAGACGUUUAUGUUUCUUCGUGUUACUUGAAAAACACAACGAAUAUCAAUUAGAAAGGAAGUGUUGUUUUUGUUAUAACUUAUUCAUUAUCAUUGUUUAAACUAUUGUUAAAUAUGUACUAAUGUUUAAUAUUUAGCUUCUUAAUUUGACAAUCGUACUGGCUCGAGAGUAAAUUUUAUAUUGAAUUAAACGGGAAUUGUACUAAAGCUCUGGAAUUAAUAAAGACUGAAAAAAAAAGAU